UAACCUACCUCAUAUGGGGGAUAACAGUCGGAAACGACUGCUAAUACCGCAUAGGACAUGGAAUCACAUGAUUCUGUGAGGAAAGGUGGCGCAAGCUAUCGCUAAUAGAUGGACCCGCUGUGCAUUAGCUAGUUGGUAGGGUAACGGCCUACCAAGGCGAUGAUGCAUAGCCGACCUGAGAGGGUGACCGGCCGCAUUGGGACUGAGAUACGGCCCAG
rnacentral:rRNA from 1 species